rnacentral:SRP_RNA from 1 species
GGAGUAAGUCUUUCACGACCAGCUCCCCAUUAAUCCUCCAGGGUCGGAAGGCAGCAAAGGUAAUUGGGUUGAGCGGUGCGAUGAGAGUAGCUUACUC